ensembl:snoRNA
AUCCUUUUGUAGUUUAUAAGCCCAAUGAUUGGAUUUUCAUGCUCAUGUGUGAGAUAUUCGUCCCUCAACCUUGUGAGAUAUUCCUUCCUCAAUCUUGUUAAUAUGUUGACACAUUACCCAUCUGACA